UACGAAGGGGGCUAGCGUUACUCGGAUUGACUGGGCGUAAAGGGCGCGUAGGCGGUUUGUACAGUCAGACGUGAAAUUCCUGGGCUCAACCUGGGGGCUGCGUUUGAUACGUGCAGACUUGAGUUCGGAAGAGGGUUGUGGAAUUCCCAGUGUAGAGGUGAAAUUCGUAGAUAUUGGGAAGAACACCGGUGGCGAAGGCGGCGACCUGGUCCGAUACUGACGCUGAGGCGCGAAAGCGUGGGGAGCAAACAGG
rnacentral:rRNA from 1 species